rfam:Helianthus annuus linkage group 1, whole genome shotgun sequence.
GUUGCCAGCGCCCAAUUUUUACACAAAGUCGCGGAACAGAGAAGAUUAGCAUGACCAUUGCGCAAGGAUGACACGCACAAAUCGAGAAAUGGUCCAAAUUUUU